AGAACCUGGAACCGUGAAGAUACAACCUGUGGAGGCACAUUUCUUUUGGAACCGAUUGCAUGUGGAACAACGGUCAAACCAGUCAAGUCAAGUAGAAAGUGUAAUCUCUUAAGGUGAGGAGUCUUAGAGAAAGCGAGUUUUAACUGAGCCUUAAGUUACUUGACGUAGACCCGAAACCGGGCUACCUACCCAUGAGCAGGAUGAAGCGAAAGUAAAAUUUCGUGGAGGUCCGACCCCACGAGCGUUGAAAAGCUCGGGGAUGACUUGUGGGUAGCGGUGAAAUUACAAUCGAGCCCGGAGAUAGCUGGUUCUCCCUGACAUAACUUUAGGGCGAGCCUCAAGGUGAGAGACACGGAGGUAGAGCUAUGCAUGUCCUAGGGGGUAUUGCACCGACCGAAGACUAUCAAGCUCCGAAUGUAGUCAGAGAAUACUUGGAUGUCCGAGCGUGGG
rnacentral:rRNA from 1 species